AGAUUUCUAUGAGAUUACUUGAAGAAAACAAGAUAGAUAGGUCAGAGGUGUAAAGGUAGUAAUAUCAAAGCUAACUGAUACUAAUAAAUCGAAAACUUGACU
rnacentral:rRNA from 1 species